UGGGGAAUAUUGCACAAUGGGCGCAAGCCUGAUGCAGCAACGCCGCGUGAACGAUGAAGGUCUUCGGAUCGUAAAGUUCUGUUGCAGGGGAAGAUAAUGACGGUACCCUGUGAGGAAGCCCCGGCUAACUACGUGCCAGCAGCCGCGGUAAUACGUAUGGACCGAGCGUUGUCCGGAAUCAUUGGGCGUAAAGGGUACGUAGGCGGCCCAGUAAGUUAGAAGUGAAAUAAUAUAGCUCAACUAUAUAAAGCUUUUAAAACUGCUAGGCUUGAGAGAUGGAAGGGAAAGUGGAAUUCCUAGUGUAGCGGUGAAAUGCGCAGAUAUUAGGAAGAAUACCGGUGGCGAAGGCGACUUUCUGGUCAUCAUCUGACGCUGAGGUACGAAAGCGUGGGUAGCAAACAGG
rnacentral:rRNA from 1 species